UAUUUUGUUUUGACAGUAGAUUGGUAAAG
rnacentral:piRNA from 1 species